rnacentral:tRNA from 1 species
GUUAAUGUCGCUUAAGCAUAAAGCAAGGUACUGAAAAUGCCUAGAUGAGUCCGCCAUAACUCCAUGAACA